rnacentral:rRNA from 1 species
UACGUAGGGGGCAAGCGUUGUCCGGAAUCACUGGGCGUAAAGGGCGCGUAGGUGGUGGCUUAAGCGUGCGGUGAAAGCUCGGGGCUCAACCCCGAGUCGGCCGUGCGAACUGGGCUCACUGGAGCAUAGUAGAGGCAGGUGGAAUUCCGGGUGUAGCGGUGGAAUGCGUAGAGAUCCGGAAGAACACCGGUGGCGAAGGCGGCCUGCUGGGCUAUGGCGUGACACUGAGGCGCGACAGCGUGGGGAGCAAACAGG